rnacentral:rRNA from 1 species
CAGCAGUAGCCGCGGUAAUACGUAGGGUGCAAGCGUUGUCCGGAAUUAUUGGGCGUAAAGAGCUCGUAGGCGGUUUGUCGCGUCUGCUGUGAAAUCCCGAGGCUCAACCUCGGGCUUGCAGUGGGUACGGGCAGACUAGAGUGCGGUAGGGGAGAUUGGAAUUCCUGGUGUAGCGGUGGAAUGCGCAGAUAUCAGGAGGAACACCGAUGGCGAAGGCAGAUCUCUGGGCCGUAACUGACGCUGAGGAGCGAAAGCGUGGGGAGCGAACAGGAUUAGAUACCCCUGUAGUCCCUGUCUCUUAUAC